rnacentral:tRNA from 1 species
GCCUCGGUAGUCUAAAGGAACUUAGGACGCUCGCACGGAAUGCAAGAGAUCCGGGUUCGACUCCCGUUCGAGGUA